AGCAGCCGCGGUAAUUCGUAGGGGGCAAGCGUUGUCCGGAUUUAUUGGGCGUAAAGAGCGUGUAGGCGGCCAGGUAGGUCUGCUGUGAAAACUCGAGGCUUAACCUCGAGCUGUCGGCGGAAACCAUCUGGCUAGAGUCCGGAAGAGGAGAAUGGAAUUCCCGGUGUAGCGGUGAAAUGCGCAGAUAUCGGGAAGAACACCCGUGGCGAAGGCGGUUCUCUGGGACGGUACUGACGCUGAGACGCGAAAGCGUGGGGAGCGAACAGGAUUAGAUACCCUGGUAGUCCACGCCGUAAACGAUGAGUGCUAGGUGUGGGGGGUGUCGACUCCCUCCGUGCCGCAGCUAACGCAUUAAGCACUCCGCCUGGGGAGUACGGCCGCAAGGCUAAAACUCAAAGGAAUUGACGG
rnacentral:rRNA from 1 species